rnacentral:rRNA from 1 species
CACGUAGGGGGCGAGCGUUGUCCGGAUUUAUUGGGCGUAAAGAGCUCGUAGGCGGCUCAGUAAGUCGGGUGUGAAAACUCUGGGCUCAACCCAGAGACGCCACCCGAUACUGCUGUGGCUUGAGUCCGGUAGGGGAGCAUGGAAUUCCUGGUGUAGCGGUGAAAUGCGCAGAUAUCAGGAGGAACACCAGUGGCGAAGGCGGUGCUCUGGGCCGGAACUGACGCUGAGGAGCGAAAGCGUGGGUAGCAAACAGGAUUAGAAACCCCCGUAGUCC